AGUUCUGCGGAUUUGUGAAGUGUGUUAGCCACUUUUGACUUUAAGGCUCUCCUUCAAUAUACUUUGAUAGAGCAUCACCAUGUCAGUGGCGUUUGCGCCUCACAGGCCGCGCGGAAAGGGUGACAUAACACCCGCCGGAAUACAAAAGUUACUUGACGAAAACAACCAGCUGAUCCAGUGUAUAAUGGACUUCCAAAGUAAAGGCAAAACAGCAGAGUGUUCACAGUAUCAACAGAUGCUGCACAGAAAUUUAGUGUACCUGGCCACGAUAGCAGACUCCAAUCAGAACAUGCAGUCUCUUCUCCCCGCUCCGCCCUCUCAAAAUAUGCCCAUGGGCCCUGGUGGGAUGAACCCCAGUGGACCCCCCCCUCAGCCUCCUCACGGUCACAGCAUGCCCUCUGAGGGUAUGGUCAGCGGUGGCCCUCCAGCCCCACACAUGCAGAACCAGAUGAAUGGACAGAUGCCUGGGCCUAAUCACAUGCCCAUGCAAGGGCCCGCUCCAGGCCCCAACCAGCCCCCGAACAUGCCCAGUGGCUCUAUGAAUAUGCCCCCCAGCGGCCAUGGCUCGAUGGGUGGUUACAAUCACGCCGUCCCUCCUGCCCAGGGCGUACCAGCUCAGAGCCCAAUGAACAUAGCCCAGGGCCAGCCCAUGGGGAACUAUGGGCCCCGGCCAAACAUGAACAUGCAGCCAACUCAAGGCCCCACAAUGCACCAGCAGCCUCCCUCUCAGCAGUAUAACAUGCCUCCUGGUGGUGGUGCACAGCACUACCAAGGUCAACAGAACCCAAUGGGCAUGAUGGGCCAGGCCAACCAAGGGAACCAUGUCAUGGGCCAGAGGCCCAUGCCGCCCUACAGACCCCCCCAGCAAGGACCCCCUCAGCAGUACCCAGGGCAAGAAGACUACUAUGGCGACCAGUACAGUCACGCAGGACAGGGAGCCUCAGAAGGUAAUGCCCAGUAUGGCCAACAGCAAGAAGCGUACCAGCAAGGCCCUCCCCAGCAGCAGGGCUACCCUCCUCCGCAGCAGUACCCGGGUCAGCAGGGCUACCCUCCCCAGCAGCAGGGCUAUGGUCCAGCCCAGAGUGCCCCAGGACAGUAUCCCAACUACCCUCAGGGGCAGGGGCAGCAGUAUGGGGGCUAUCGGCCUCCUCAACCUGGAUCCCCUCAGGUCCAGCAGCAACGCCCUUACGGCUAUGACCAGGUGAGUAUACCAACAACACCGGACAGUCACAGCGACUAGUCCAUAGGUCGGUCUUAGUUCGUCCCGGAUUCAGUUUAUGACUAAGUUGUAUAUUUUGUGUAGUGACACCAAUAUGAGUGAAGUUAGAACGUAAAUAUUAAAAGAGUAUGUUUUGCAUGCUGACAUGCUGGCAAAUUGGGGUGGGGGGGGUAAAUAUUUUCUUUCCAAAAGAGUGCAUGUGUUACUAUUGUCUUUCACUUGUUUAGUUGAGCCGUCGAUAUAUAUGUAUAUAUAUAUAUAUCCCAGCUACGAAGGUAAAAUAAAUAAAUUUAGUGAAAUAUGAGGGCUUUACGAGGAUUCUUCCUGAAACGUGACGCUGUUGUGUUUAAAGGGGAGAUCUAUUUGUUGCCCUGCUUUGCCUGUGGUCUUAUGUGGGGACCACAGCUGCACUUUGAUAUCUUUAUCUUUGAAUAUUCAGGGGCACAUCAGGAAAUAAAGACCCGGGGAUUUGAACCCCUGACUAGCUCUGUAAGAAGCAAAGGGCCAGUAUGGGAAUUACCAGCAAUGAGAGAUGGUCACAGCAACCCACACAGCUCCGAUAUGAUCUGCCUGAGCGUUGACCUCUGGUCAAAUGCUAAGCAGACCGAAAUGAUGGUUGUAGCUCACGGAGAUUCUCAGACAAGAACAUGCAACACUCAAACAUACAAGAUACACCCCCCCCCCCUUCCUCCUUCUCCCACCCCACUUCUCUUUGGGCUCCGAUCCUCGCCGAUGAAAUGUAUUCUGUUCAUCAUGUCCAUUGGCCCCCGCCCUCUGGUCCAGUAGGUCUCAAAGCAGCAAUGCCUUACAAGUGGAACUGCCUUAUCCUCUCGCAUUGCAGAUUGCGAAGCGGGCCAACACAACUUUGGACAUCGGAGAUGAUUUCAAAUGUACAGUUUCAAUCUACGGUGGCGCAUUGUUUCUCGGCCCGUCAGCUCCUUGUUCAAGAGCAGCAAUAAUGCCAGCACUCGGGCGAUGUGUGGGGGCCUGGAGAUGAAAUAAUGCACCAGAUGAACUUCCGGCUAGGCCAUGGUACGUGUCUUGAUGUAUGUGAUGAUGUAAACAUAUAUUUUAUGCUUUUUAGAUCAAGCUAACUUUGUAUAAGACAUUGGAAACGAGUACUUUAGCCGUGUUGUUUAUUUCAUGUGUACGUGUCAAUGUUUUUCUUUCUUCUUUUUUUUUAUGAUGGUCCCAUCCAGCACAUUCUUUUCUUUGUUGUUUUUUUUAUUUGUUGAAUUGUACCUUUUUUGAACGAUUCAAUUGUAUUUGCUACAUCCGUGACAUUGGCACCGUAUUCAUUCUCUGUGUAAAAAUGCAACAUUAAUUGACAUGCAUGGGAACUCCUUGAUGGACAAAUGCAAACGUCAUGUCUGAAAACACAUUCUGUGUAAAGCUGUGUAUUUAAGUCUGUGAAGAAGAAGAAGAAAAAACAACCUGUUACCAAUUUUUUUUUAUUAUUUUUUUUAUUUUUUAAACCACAUAACUUUGGCCACUGGCCUCUUUUGGACAGAUGUGGCCUAAGAGGUGACGUGUAGCAGAUGCCACUGCAAAUUGCAGUCGAUGAUCUCUGGAGCCUGUUCCCCUCUCCAGGCUCCUCGGUCGUGUCUGCUGACUGCAAAUUGGUGAACGAAAAAGAUCAAACUCGGUAUAAUACAUGUUUCUGACAAGGACUUUUGUUGUUGGUCUUGACGAUGCUGGAAUCCCCCUUUGAAUAAACGUCGACGUUGAUGUCAUUCAAAAAGUGUGUGUGUGUGUGGGAAUAAUACAGAUUGUUACUGUCAAAUAUGUAACAUAAGAUGUGAAAAUAAUGUUCUCGGAUGAAUUCCUGUGCUUUCACAGUAAAGACCGGUUGUGCAGUUUUAUAUCACUGGCUUGGUAUUUUGUUUUUAAAGUGCAUACUUUAUUGAUCCCCAUAUGUACAGCGGAGUAUUUCAUUGGUCCUCCGAUAUUGUUGAUAUGGCUGUUUUAAUAUUUGGCGUUCUGCACCCCCAUCCAAGUGGUCACGUGUGUGUCAUGGCAAUGUAUAACUGUACAUUACAAUAAAUCAGAAGAAUCUUUA